GUAGCUAUGUACGGAAGGGAUAAGCGCUGAAAGCAUCUAAGCGUGAAGCCCCCCUCAAGAUGAGAUUUCCCAGUAUGUAAGACCCCUUGAAGACGACGUGGUAGAUAGGCUGGGGGUGGAAGUGCAGCAAUGCAUGUAGCUGACCAGUACUAAUCGGUCGAGGUCUUAUCCAAA
rnacentral:rRNA from 1 species